rnacentral:lncRNA from 1 species
GCUGAUGAGAGAGGUUCCCUUACCUGAUUUGUGGUUUUAACCACUUCUUCUGAGCUAAAUUUUUCUGUUGCAGAUGAUUGAGCAUUUGCUGAAAUUUUUUUGUGACCUCUGUCUAUUUCAGGGGGUUGCAGCCCUGAAUCCACUUGGUUGAUUUGCUUCCUAGCACUAAAACAUUCAACUAGCACAUCUUGUGAUGAUGCCA